GGAAAUACUUCACUGCUGCUUCAACUGCUUUUUCUUGUGGAAUUCGAAUACUUCGGGGGGCAAUGAAGGGAACUGUUCCUUGAGGAUAAAUCUUCAUUUCUCUCAUGUGAAGAACUAUGCCGAGAUCUGCCCGUGGAAAAUUACAUCCUAGGAGCAAGAAUCACAAAGGACCUUUGCUUUCAGACUUUUCUUUAAGAGGUCCACAGCAUAAUGAGCAAACUGGAAUGAAGUGUAUUAACCUUUGAAAGAUGAAAGAGGGUUACAGCUACCCCAGAGGGAUCACUGUUGGGCCAGCUGGGCAUCUUUGCAAAGGGCACAAGACAGUCCUUGAGGUCAGUGGAAUGAGUUGCAACAGGAUGGAAGAGAAACUGGGGAGAACCCUGGUCCCAGGAAAGUUAUAUGUCAAGACACAACAAUUUACGAAGUUUUCAAGUAUUCAAGUGACGAAGGUCAUGCAAACGGUCCUAUGGAGAAGUAUUAAAAUUUCCUCCUACACAAAGCAGGAAGAGCGGACACAGCCCUGGACUUCCUCUCCCAGAUCCUUCCUGACCAAGAUGCCCUGCUCCAAGGGAGGAGCCGUGACCUUCAAAGGCCGUGUCUUGGCAUGUCAGGACACACUCAUGUGCACA